UACCGCAUACGUCCUACGGGAGAAAGGGGGCUUCGGCUCCCGCUAUUGGAUGAGCCUAUGUCGGAUUAGCUAGUUGGUGAGGUAAAGGCUCACCAAGGCAACGAUCCGUAGCUGGUCUGAGAGGAUGAUCAGCCAAAUCGGGACUGAGACACGGCCCGAACUCCUACGGGAGGCAGCAGUGGGGAAUAUUGGACAAUGGGGGCAACCCUGAUCCAGCCAUGCCGCGUAUGUGAAGAAGGCCUUCGGGUUGUAAAGCACUUUCAGCGAGGAAGAACGCCUAGUGGUUAAUACCCAUUAGGAAAGACAUCACUCGCAGAAGAAGCACCGGCUAACUCCGUGCCAGCAGCCGCGGUAAUACGGAGGGUGCAAGCGUUAAUCGGAAUUACUGGGCGUAAAGCGCGCGUAGGUGGCUUGAUAAGCCGGUUGUGAAAGCCCCGGGCUCAACCUGGGAACGGCAUCCGGAACUGUCAAGCUAGAGUGCAGGAGAGGAAGGUAGAAUUCCCGGUGUAGCGGUGAAAUGCGUAGAGAUCGGGAGGAAUACCAGUGGCGAAGGCGGCCUUCUGGACUGACACUGACACUGAGGUGCGAAAGCGUGGGUAGCAAACAGGAUUAGAUACCCUGGUAGUCCACGCCGUAAACGAUGUCGACCAGCCGUUGGGUGCCUAGCGCACUUUGUGGCGAAGUUAACGCGAUAAGUCGACCGCCUGGGGAGUACGGCCGCAAGGUUAAAACUCAAAUGAAUUGACGGGGGCCCGCACAAGCGGUGGAGCAUGUGGUUUAAUUCGAUGCAACGCGAAGAACCUUACCUACUCUUGACAUCCUGCGAACUUGUGAGAGAUCACUUGGUGCCUUCGGGAACGCAGAGACAGGUGCUGCAUGGCUGUCGUCAGCUCGUGUUGUGAAAUGUUGGGUUAAGUCCCGUAACGAGCGCAACCCUUGUCCUUAUUUGCCAGCACGUAAUGGUGGGAACUCUAAGGAGACUGCCGGUGACAAACCGGAGGAAGGUGGGGACGACGUCAAGUCAUCAUGGCCCUUACGAGUAGGGCUACACACGUGCUACAAUGGCCGGUACAAAGGGUUGCCAACUCGCGAGAGUGAGCUAAUCCCGAAAAGCCGGUCUCAGUCCGGAUCGGAGUCUGCAACUCGACUCCGUGAAGUCGGAAUCGCUAGUAAUCGUGAAUCAGAAUGUCACGGUGAAUACGUUCCCGGGCCUUGUA
rnacentral:rRNA from 1 species